rnacentral:rRNA from 1 species
AUUGAACGCUGGCGGCAGGCCUAACACAUGCAAGUCGAUCGUAAGAAGCGUGCUUGCUUCUGGAUUCGGGGGCCGACUGGCGGUUAAUUCCUAAAAAUCUCCCUGUUUUUUUUUGCUUACGUCCUUACUCGGGCUCUCUUACCGCAUACGUCCUGAGGUAGUACGUGUGGUAUCUUCGUAUCUUCCGCUAUCACUUGAUCUUAGGUCGGAUUAGCUAGUUGGCUGGGUAACGGCCUACCAAGGCUACGAUCCGUAACUGGUCUGAGAGGAUGAUCAGUCACACUGGAACUGAGAAACGGUCCAGACUCCUAAGGGAGGCAGCAGUGGGGAAUAAUGGACAAUGGGCGAAAGACUGAUAAAGCCAUACCGCGUGUGUGAAGAAGGUCUUCGGAUUGUAAAGCACUUUAGGUUGGGAGGAAGGGCAGUAAGUUAAUACCCUGCUGUUUUGACGUUACCAAAAGAAUAAGCACCGGCUAACUUCGUG